UGCUCUAGGACUGGAGAGCGCGGAGGGCCGACCUGACCCUCCGAAAGGGCCUGAGGCAGGGGGCGCCCGGGUCCCAGGGCCUUGGAGAAGGACCCCUGGCCGCAAGCCGGCCCCAAGUGCAAAGCAUUGACACGUUCCCGAGAGGAGAGGGGGCGCCCUUUUUCUCCUGCACGGGGAGGCCCGGCCGUUCGGGCCCGCUCCCCAGCCUGGCCUCCGACCCCGCUCCCGGUGGCUGCCCGGGGUCCCUGCGCUCCGGAGGGAGGCUGCGGGCACUGGAAAGCGAGGCCGGUGGGCGGGCAAGUCGGGAGGCUCGGGCGGCUGAGGUCCCGGAGCCGAACCCAGGUGGCGGGAGCCGCCUUUACUGCCAGCAUAUGACCUCCCACCAUCUGAGACACUGCAGCAGAAGGGAAGCUCUCAGAAGACACACAAACCCAAUCAGUCAUUCAACAAACAUUAACUGAGGCUCAGCUUGGCGCUCAUCCCAGGGCUGGAUUCUGGGUUUUCAUCUCCCACUUUGGAAGCUGAAGAGGGAACAUCGGUGUCAUGAUGAUGAGAGGUGUUUGUGUGGUGGAUGGAGUCUCCAGCACAGGAGCCUCUUAGCCCAUUGCCCUUGUUUUGAAUGAUGGAGUGAUGCACGGUGCUGAGGGUAGUACCAGGGUGGAAGGGUAGGAACUGUGGCUUACCUAUUCUCUCCCAGACUGGUGACAGAUGUGGUAGAUGCUUCAAGAGUUUGCCUGCCUACUGCAACCAUACAGAAAGCGCAUGGGGCUGCCGAGGAGGCCAUCAAGAGAUGAGACUGAAAGCAUUUUUGUAAAUACUAUAGGAGGAAAAAUCCAGGGCUCAUUUAGGUGAAGCAGAGAGCUCCAGGUGCAUAGAGAAUUCCCUGGAUGAUGAUGGCAUUUUCCAAGGAAUCAUUUCCCCAGGACCAGUGUUGGUUCUCUUUGCUUCCUGUCUGCCACAAGGUGAGCAGCUUUCUUCUAGCACAUGAUCCCUACCAUGAUGAUCUGCUUUACCACGGUCCAGAAACAAUUGAGUCAUGUGAUCACAGAUUGAAAUUUCUGAAACUAUAAGCCAAAAUUCACAUUUUUUCCUUAAAAAGAAGAAGAAACAAAGAGAAGAGUAAAAAUGAAAACCUCAGCUCUGGAAAGGGAGUGUGUGGGAUCCACCCAACACACUGCUGGCUCCUAUAGCCACGGCUGGUAAGGGAAGAGUUCACCAGGGCACAAUUUUAUCUGCUGAGUUGUAGCUUUUUCAUUUGUGCUACGGAGAAAAUUAACAAUUCCACAUCUUUUUUUUUUUCUGACAAGAUCUCAUGUAGUCCAGGCUUGCCUUGAAUUCACUUUGCAACUAAUGAUGACCUUGAAUUCUUGAUCUUUCUGUCUGCACCUCCUGAGUUCUGGGGAUUUUUAGGCACGUGCCAUCAUAUUUGGCACAAAUGCCAUAUCUUCUGAAAUGUCUUCAAAGUCCAAUGUGAUCAACUAAUUUUUAUAAAGAACACCAAUGCUUUGAUUAUCUCCUUUGAAUAUGGGUGUAAGCAGCAAGUUGGAGCAUCUGAAGGGUCAGAAAAUGAACUGCCCUUUACCUGUAACUGCUGUGACCUGUGUGGUACCUUGUGAUGUGAUAGGGCUAAUUUGUCCCUUAACAGAAAUGAAGGAAAUGUCCCUAGCCCUCAGCAGUGGAACAAGUCAGAGGUCCAUGGUCUUCUGGAAUUACUAAUCUUCAAGGUAGGAUGGGGGCCCAACACACUGAGUCUGAGUUAUUUGCAUUAGGAUACACAUUUAACCAACUUAUCACAAAAGUUCCCAUUUCUUGAGACUUUACUUUCUACAGCCCCCAAAUGAAGGGUGUUAUCAUGUGUGUACUUCUACAUGCACAAGCUGCUUCUAAAUCAUCUUCCGCAAAGCAUAGGAAAUCUACGGAUAUUUGUUAAUUAACUUACUGAAACUUCUUAAAACCAUUUAAAAACCUCUAUGUAAUGUUCAAAAUAAAUGCUUUUCUUGUAAGAAGGAAAAAAGCGCAGCCCUUUAAGUAAAUAAAAGU